GCCAAAGACCUAUAUUAGAGGCUUAUACGAGAAGGCAUGAAAAUUGAGUAGUGAACUUUUCAAACCAAGAAGCAAACCAUCAAAUCAAAGAUUAAAAGCCAACCGCACUUGUCCCAUGCUCAUCCCACAAAUAGCAUCCUAUGAACCAUACACCAGCAAAAUACAACCAGGAUUAUAAUCAAACCAUCAAAGAAAUAUUUAGCUUCACAAAUAACAGAAAUUCCACAAUUCAAUCUUUGGAGAUCAAGUAGAGAAAAUAAUUUAAACAUCGAACACCAUUCAAUCCAACAUUUGAGACGAAUCUCAUCGAGAAAUUAGGAUAUCCUGGGAGUUGCAGCCAUUUUAAACUCUUUAGGAUUUAGGGUCAGAAACUCGAAUUGAUGAACUGUGGUCACAACCCUUCUCAUUCGUGCAGCUACUCCCGCAACACCAUCUACGCGGAUCAAAUAAUGUCGUCUAGUGUCUUCAAAUUCGAGAGGCAACAAAAUUGGAUCCAAUUUGGCACUGAUUCCCCGAAGAUAGUGUUGAAAAAGAAGCCACACAAAUGAAGCCAGGCCAUACCCCUGGUGGUCACAAAAAUCACCCAUGAAGAAAAACAGUGUCGCCAUUAGAGGAUUAUCCGAGAAGGCAUUAAAGUUUGAGUAGAAAACUUUUCAAACCAAUAAGCAAACCAUCAAAUCAAAGGGUAAAAGCCAACCGCACUUGUCCCAUGCUCAUCCCACAAAAUGCGUC
rnacentral:lncRNA from 1 species